rnacentral:lncRNA from 1 species
AAGGUGAAAAGGGUACGGCUUGAUUCCAGAUCCGUUUUUAGGGUGGAACUCAGCAUAAGAAUGAAGUGACCCUUUCUUCCAUACAAUUACAGGAACCGACGAAAGGUGCUAAGAAAGACCUGGCGAAAGACGAAGCUCUCUUUGGAUUCGAAUCAAGAUUCUUUUGAGACGCGGAUUAAUACUUAGCCUCUAGUGCUUCCCUAUGAUCGAUUGAUGGAAAGGAUUGACUGGAUUCGGAAUAAGCAAGCAACUUGCCCGGCUUAGCUUCAUUUUGAUAUCGGCACCAGAUCCCCCAUAUUCUCCAAUUGCUGCUAAUGAAAUCAAUUCCAUUUAGAUUAAGACCUACCCUUCAGAUGAGAACGGGAACAGCAUAAGAUUACCUGGUGGACGAGGGAUCACUCUCUCUACGUAUUUCUAAUUGAUGUCUUUAUGAAUGCUAGCUUACUUAUGAGUUUCAUUUAUGUCUUUUUAUGAAUGCUAGCUUACUUACGAGUGUUUUUU